CAUCUUGACAGGCAUCCUGCUAGU
rnacentral:miRNA from 1 species